UUAAGUUCAGCGGGUAGCCCUACCUGAUCCGAGGUCAACCGGAGGAGGCGCACCCCGAAGGGCUGCCUAAAAGGAAGACCAGCACCGACCGAGUCCCUCCCGAGCGGGUGACAAAGCCCCAUACGCUCGAGGACCCGACGCGGCGCCGCCACUGCUUUUGGGGCGUGUCCCCGGGGGGACAGCGCCCAACACCCAGCCGU
rnacentral:misc_RNA from 1 species